rnacentral:rRNA from 1 species
GAUGAACGCUGGCGGCGUGCCUAAUACAUGCAAGUCGAGCGAACAGACGAGGAGCUUGCUCCUCUGAUGUUAGCGGCGGACGGGUGAGUAACACGUGGAUAACCUACCUAUAAGACUGGGAUAACUUCGGGAAACCGGAGCUAAUACCGGAUAACAUGUUGAACCGCAUGGUUCAACAGUGAAAGACGGUCUUGCUGUCACUUAUAGAUGGAUCCGCGCCGCAUUAGCUAGUUGGUAAGGUAACGGCUUACCAAGGCAACGAUGCGUAGCCGACCUGAGAGGGUGAUCGGCCACACUGGAACUGAGACCCGGUCCAGACUCCUACGGGAGGCAGCAGUAGGGAAUCUUCCGCAAUGGGCGAAAGCCUGACGGAGCAACGCCGCGUGAGUGAAGAAGGUCUUCGGAUCGUAAAACUCUGUUAUUAGGGAAGAACAAAUGUGUAAGUAACUAUGCACGUCUUGACGGUACCUAAUCAGAAAGCCACGGCUAACUACGUG